rnacentral:misc_RNA from 1 species
UCAGUUCAAAUGGAAUUACAGGAACUGGAAUUUUUCUCAUAUACAAGAUUAAGACAUGAAUGUAUCGAGAAAAACAAUCUUCAUCUUUUUGCUUUACAGUAUCAUUUCAUUGACUCACUUCCUAUCUUUUUUGUUGUAAAAAUCUAUUUAAAAAAAAAAGAAUCAAGAAACUGCAUAAUUAAUUAACCCUAGUAAUGUUCAUCCUCUCAUGGUCCUAGAGUGCACUAAACCUUCUUCUAUGCUCUUAUUUUUUGGACGUAGCAACUUGGACAAAAACCCACCUUUCUUCUUCUUAUUAUUAUCAUCACUGGCCCUGUCUUUAUUGCCUCUGGUUCUUGGAACAAAAACCAACGAUCUA